rnacentral:rRNA from 1 species
AUUGAACGCUGGCGGCAGGCCUAACACAUGCAAGUCGAGCGGAUGAAGGGAGCUUGCUCCUGGAUUCAGCGGCGGACGGGUGAGUAAUGCCUAGGAAUCUGCCUGGUAGUGGGGGAUAACGUCCAGAAACGGGCGCUAAUACCGCAUACGUCCUGAGGGAGAAAGUGGGGGAUCUUCGGACCUCACGCUAUCAGAUGAGCCUAGGUCGGAUUAGCUAGUUGGUGGGGUAAAGGCCUACCAAGGCGACGAUCCGUAACUGGUCUGAGAGGAUGAUCAGUCACACUGGAACUGAGACAGGGUCAAGACGCCUAAGGGAGGCAGCAGUGGGGAAUAUUGGGCAAUGGGCGAAAGCCUGAUCCAGCCAGGCCGCGUGUGUGAAGAAGGUCUUCGGAUUGUAAAGAAGUUUAAGUUGGGAGGAAGGGCAGUAAGUUAAUACCUUGCUGUUUUGACGUUACCAACAGAAUAAGCACCGGCUAACUUCGUG